GCCUGAGUGGCUCAGUUGGUUAUGCAUCUGACUUCAGCUCAGGUCACAAUCUCACGGUUCGUGGGUUCAAGCCCUGCCUCAGGCU
rnacentral:tRNA from 1 species